rnacentral:rRNA from 1 species
UACCAGCACCCCCGAGUGGUCGGGACGAUUAUUGGGCCUAAAGCAUCCGUAGCCGGUCCUACAAGUCUUCCGUUAAAUCCACCUGCUUAACAGAUGGGCUGCGGAAGAUACUAUAGGGCUAGGAGGCGGGAGAGGCAAGCGGUACUCAGUGGGUAGGGGUAAAAUCCUCUGAUCCAUUGAAGACCACCAGUGGCGAAGGCGGCUUGCCAGAACGCGCUCGACGGUGAGAGAUGAAAGCUGGGGGGAGCAAACCGG